CCUACGGGAGGCAGCAGUGAGGAAUAUUGGUCAAUGGACGAGAGUCUGAACCAGCCAAGUAGCGUGAAGGAUGACUGCCCUAUGGGUUGUAAACUUCUUUUAUAUGGGAAUAAAAUGUUCCACGUGUGGGAUUUUGUAUGUACCAUAUGAAUAAGGAUCGGCUAACUCCGUGCCAGCAGCCGCGGUAAUACGGAGGAUCCGAGCGUUAUCCGGAUUUAUUGGGUUUAAAGGGAGCGUAGGUGGAUUGUUAAGUCAGUUGUGAAAGUUUGCGGCUCAACCGUAAAAUUGCAGUUGAAACUGGCAGUCUUGAGUACAGUAGAGGUGGGCGGAAGUCGUGGUGUAGCGGUGAAAUGCAUAGAUAUCACGAAGAACUCCGAUUGCGAAGGCAGUUCACUGGACUGCAACUGACACUGAGGCUCGAAAGUGUGGGUAUCAAACAGGAUUAGAUACCCGUGUAGUC
rnacentral:rRNA from 1 species